rnacentral:rRNA from 1 species
UACGUAGGGCGCAAGCGUUAUCCGGAAUUAUUGGGCGUAAAGAGCUCGUAGGCGGUUUGUCGCGUCUGCCGUGAAAGUCCGGGGCUCAACUCCGGAUCUGCGGUGGGUACGGGCAGACUAGAGUGAUGUAGGGGAGACUGGAAUUCCUGGUGUAGCGGUGAAAUGCGCAGAUAUCAGGAGGAACACCGGUGGCGAAGGCGGGUCUCUGGUCCGAUACUGACGCUGAGGAGCGAAAGCGUGGGGAGCGAACAGG